rnacentral:rRNA from 1 species
UACGAAGGGGGCUAGCGUUGCCCGGAAUUACUGGGCGUAAAGCGUGCGCAGGCGGUUUUGUAAGUCUGUCGUGAAAGCCCCGGGUUCAACCUGGGAAUUGCGAUGGAGACUGCAAGGCUUGAAUCUGGCAGAGGGGGGUAGAAUUCCACGUGUAGCAGUGAAAUGCGUAGAGAUGUGGAGGAACACCGAUGGCGAAGGCAGCCCCCUGGGUCAAGAUUGACGCUCAUGCACGAAAGCGUGGGGAGCAAACAGG